rnacentral:antisense_RNA from 1 species
CUUGACGGAGCCGAGCAUCAGCGGAUGCACCCGGUCCUGGCCGUAGGUGGCCAGCAGCGCCUGCGCCUC